AGAGUUUGAUCCUGGCUCAGGACGAACGCUGGCGGCGUGCUUAACACAUGCAAGUCGAACGGUAAGGCCCUUCGGGGUACACGAGUGGCGAACGGGUGAGUAACACGUGGGUAAUCUGCCCUGCACAUCGGGAUAAGCCUGGGAAACUGGGUCUAAUACCGAAUAGGACCACAGGACACAUGUCCUGUGGUGGAAAGCUUUUGCGGUGUGGGAUGGGCCCGCGGCCUAUCAGCUUGUUGGUGGGGUGAUGGCCUACCAAGGCGACGACGGGUAGCCGGCCUGAGAGGGUGUCCGGCCACACUGGGACUGAGAUACGGCCCAGACUCCUACGGGAGGCAGCAGUGGGGAAUAUUGCACAAUGGGCGCAAGCCUGAUGCAGCGACGCCGCGUGAGGGAUGACGGCCUUCGGGUUGUAAACCUCUUUCAGCUCCGACGAAGCGCAAGUGACGGUAGGGGUAGAAGAAGGACCGGCCAACUACGUGCCAGCAGCCGCGGUAAUACGUAGGGUCCGAGCGUUGUCCGGAAUUACUGGGCGUAAAGAGCUCGUAGGUGGUUUGUCGCGUUGUUCGUGAAAACUCGCAGCUUAACUGUGGGCGUGCGGGCGAUACGGGCAGACUUGAGUACUGCAGGGGAGACUGGAAUUCCUGGUGUAGCGGUGAAAUGCGUAGA
rnacentral:rRNA from 1 species